ensembl:snoRNA SNORD31 Small nucleolar RNA SNORD31
AACAGAAGUGAUGAGGUUGUUUUACCGCCCCAGUCUGAAGAUUCGUGACUGAUUGGUAUACUCUGAUCUCAG